UGUACUGUACUGUCUGUACUGUACUGUACUGCCUGUACUGUACUGUACUGUCUGUACUGUACUUUACUGUACUGUACUGUACUGCACUGCCUGUACUGUCUGUACUGUACUGUACUGUACUGUACUGUACUGCACUGUACUGUACUGUACUGUACUGUACUGUACUGCCUGUACUGUGGGGCCAUAGUACAGGCAGUACAGACCCACUUCAUGCACUGUUUGCAAAGUUGUAGAAGAACUGGAUGUGAGUGUGGGUUAGCCAUUGUUAGCUCUACAUGAGAUUUGACACAAAAGUGCAGCAACAUGUCUGCGGUUGGUAGCAGCCAUCUUGGAAUCCCAUCCCAUCCCCAUCAGGGUUAUAAAUCUAAGUUAUUUUUAUGAUUGUUGUAAUUAUUAGUGGAGGUAUGGAGUGCACCAUUCUUCUGCAUAUUUGUUAUCAGAAGAAAUCUAUAUUAUAUUAUUAUCAUUAUAAUAAUAAUAAUAUCAAUAUGAAUGAAGUCCGUUCUGUGACAUCCUUGUUUAGCACAAUAUAAACAUUUGCAUUUUUUUAGCUUGUUACCAAAUGAAUGGAAAAUAAAGGUUGUUUAUAAAAAUGUGGUUGGCGUUAACGUUGAUAAUGACAGAGAUUUAUUAACCAUUGAACAGAGAAGGGUCUAGCUGCAGACCCGCAGACCACUCAACGACACACCCCUCCACUCAACGACACACCCCUCCACUCAACGACACACCCCUCCACUCAACGAAACACCCCUUUACUCAACGAAACACCCCCUUACACUCAACGAAACACCCCUUUACUCAACGAAACACCCCUUUACUCAACGAAACACCCCUUUACUCAACGAAACACCCCCUUACACUCAACGAAACACCCCUUUACUCAACGAAACACCCCUUUACUCAACGAAACACCCCCUUACACUCAACGAAACACCCCUUUACUCAACGAAACACCCCCUUUACUCAACGAAACACCCCCUUACACUCAACAAAACACCCCUUUACUCAACGAAUCACCCCCUCACACUACACGACACUCUGAUUGGCUCUCAAGAGACUGCGUCUGAAACGUGAUGACGUUUACGUUGACCGAGUAUGAAGAGAGAACCCGAAAAAGUAACACGGGAAAAUGACGGAGGAAAAGAGCAACACUACGUUCAGUGAAGGAGCAGACCCUGAGCUGAGAAGAUGCGACUCGGACACUGAUCUGCACAAAAAAGGGGAGCUAUGCAAAGCUUGUGGCUCAUCUGCAGGGACACCAAAGGUCAAUGGUGGAGCACGGUGGUAAGUCCUAAAUUAUCAGUGGGGAGAGCUGUGGCGAUUUUACAAGCCACAAACAAAGAUACAUAUCCAGACCACAACUCCAUACUUCACGGGUACCUUCAUUAUGAAGCUCUAUCAGCACAUGAGUAUUCAUUCUCUUGUGUUAAUUGUGGAAACCAUCCUCCUGUUGUCAUCAUGGAUUUGCAUAAGAAGGGAGUCUUCAGCAUGCCAAGUAAGUCGUUAUUCCUCACAGGAGGUCUUCAGGGACAGAGUACACUGUCAAAUGUUUUUCUUCCAGUGAGUGACCUUAAAGAGCCCCCAUCUGACUUUAAUGGCGAGGUUGACAUAGAAGACUUUUGGCAUUCUGUCAGCCAGGAAAUUCUUUGCAGAGGCUUUGUGAAGAGCAAUGCUGUGAACCCGUGUGUGGUAUCUCCAUCUUAUCACAAAUGGGCACCAUGGAUAGGUCCUCAGACCAGAGCCAGCAAUAUGGUAUUUAACACUGAGUACAAGAAGGUCAAAGGCAGUAAAGGAUCCAACCCACUAGAGCAGGCAGAGGUGGAUAUGACAGAGGACAGAUUGACAAAUGAAGUAAUGAACUUAAAGGUUCAUUUACUGCGGACUUUAGUAAAAGAGUGUGGCCUUGAUUCUUCUGGAUCAAAAAUGGAUCUUGUCAUCCGCUUGAGAGAACAGAUGAAAAGCCGCAGUACCUAUGACAAGGUGUUUCAGAAGGUCUGGGGUGCAUCAGGGGGCUGGGCUGUGAUAAUGUGUCCCUGUGGUGUUGUGAGUUCAGUGAAGUUCAACAUCCGAGCAGAAAGUCCACGGGAUUAUGCAGACAUGCUGCUCUCCUUCAAACACCUGCCAUGUGGUCAUUUAUGACUUUGCCAGAGGUUUGGUGGCCCACACCAACUUGCGGGAGCCAGAAAAAAUACCGUUCAGGCCAAAUGAAGGCAGGCUGGCAGAGGCCUCACCUGAAAAUCUCGACUCAGCCAACAAGGGUAAAAAUGGAAAUAAACCUGCCCUGGCUAAAAUGGCGGAAGGAGCCUGCGGACAUAAAUGCACACCCAAGCACAGGAUCUGCAGAUCACUAUGCACUAUAUGACACAUUUCAUGAGGCAAAUACAAAGGACCCUAAAGACUGCCUCAGAAAAAUUGGUCUUGUCCCAGAACUCCGUGGAUGGGUGAAUUCCCAAACAGCAGAACAAUUUUUCUCCAAAAUGAGGAAAAACUAUUAUUUUCUGAACAUGAUAUCCCCAGGAAGCCAUGUCUUUCUCAUGCGAUGUAUUAUUCAUCAUCAUAAUACCAUGAUAAAUGAGAAGACACUGACAGGUCUUCAGAAAAUAUCAACAGAUGGCAUCGCUACUGAUAGUGCUGGAAAGGCUGUAAUGGCAUCUGCACUGUUUUCAAGUAGCACUUCAGCGACAGCACACUCCGAAGGGACAACAGAACAUGGACCAGUGUUCAGAGGAGUGUGAGACUUUAACAGUGGUGUCAGCACUCAAGCCCUGCAGAGACUCAUGGACAAUAAAAGUUUGCCUGGUAUUUUGCAAUGGAGGCUAGUUUUGACUUCAACGUUUAUGACAUGUCUUCACUGAGGCGGUGGUGGUGCAUUGUCCUGGUGGAAAACCUUGGGCUGCAGGGUUAUGGGAGGAAGUUUGCUCACUUCACCAAGGAAGGCCGAGCAACACUCCAUGACAACCCAGCCCCUGUCCUCAGGAUCAGCACUCAAGCUGCACUGUGGUCCCAUCAGACACUGAGGACCGUCUGCAUCUUGCUGUACAAGACUUGGAAAGGGCCCAACAAGCCCAACAGAAGCGACGCGAGGCAUGUUGUCUGUUAACCAGUGUAAUCACAGAGGAUCAGGGCAUGCUGCAACACCUUAAAAACAUCAUCACAGGCAACACGGUGUCUCCUUGGGCCAAGAAACAGGACAGGGUCAUCCUUCUUUUUGAAGAUGAUGAACAAGUGGACAAAGUCAUGCACUUCUUGUCUGAAGUACUCGAACGUACUGAGACAGACAAGAAGUCUGCAGAUCCAGUGGCAUUCGUAAUGGAUGUACUUUUGCCAGAGGCAACAGUAUACGCCCUCGGAGCUGUUCACUCCAUCUCCCUGGACAAAGCCAAGGAGAUGUACAUGCGUGGCACAGAGUUUGACUCAAGCGAGAUAACCCAGCUUGGGGAACAGCUUCAGAGCCACAUUUCCUCAAAAGCGAGGCAGAAACUGGAUAGCUUCCUGAGCAGUUACAAGAAAGCCUUGGAGUGUGAGGAAUUCCUCAGGCGCCUGUAAUCCCUGGGUAGUGAAUGUGUCUGCUGGAUAGUCUGUUGUGUAUAAAAUAAAGAAAAUAUAUCAUUCA